UGGCUCAGACGGUAAAGCAUCUGCCUACAAUGCAGGAGACCAGGGUUCAAUCCCUG
rnacentral:tRNA from 1 species